rnacentral:sRNA from 1 species
GAGGCGGCGGCUGCGGCACGGAAAAGGCUCUGUGACUGAAGCUCCAAAGGCCAGCAGGCUGGUGGGGACGUGACCGAAGCGAGGCUCUAGUUCCCUUUCGAUGGGCGCCAGUUGAGCCUCGCCUCUGGCUUCCCCAGGAUGCGCCGGCAGCUGGGGAGCGGCUGCGGGCGCGAGGCCUGAGGAUGAUCUUUCCUGUCGUCCGCUACGCGCUCCGGUGGCUGCGACGGCCCGAAGACCGUGCCUUUUCCCGCGCCGCCAUGGAGGUGGCCCUCCGAGGCGUGCGGAAAGUCCUCUGUGUGGCCGAAAAAAACGACGCGGCCAAGGGGAUCGCCGACCUGCUGUCAAACGGUCGCAUGAAGCGGAGAGAAGGACUUUCAAAAUUCAACAAGAUCUAUGAAUUUGAUUAUCACCUGUAUGGCCAGAAUGUUACCAUGGUAAUGACUUCGGUUUCUGGACAUUUACUGGCUCAUGAUUUCCAGAUGCAGUUUCGAAAAUGGUCAGUACAAUUCUCAAGGGAAGGACUUUCAGAUUAUAGCAGAGCUGCAACCCUCUUGUCCUCUUUGAAGCAGAAAUUGAAAAGUACUGCCCAGAGAAUUUUGUAGACAUUAAGGUAGGGUCUUUUGGAAGACAUUUGGCACUCAGUCAAACCACAGAGUCAAACAGAGUGAUUUCUUUGUUUUUAAUGCAUUGGCAUUUGGAGAUAAGGUUUUCCACCAAAGUCACUACCAUGAUUUAAAAAGCUGGUUCCCACCCAUUGUAUAAAUGUGGCUAAGUGGCCAAGGGACUGAAGUAAACUUUUUUUUAUGAAUAGUAGUUGUUUAAAUCCUAGGAAUAAAGGCUGGACAUGGUGGUUUAUGCCUGUAAUCCCAGCAAUUUUUGGGGCCAAGGCAGGAUCACAUGAACUCCAGGAAUUU